GACGAACGCUGGCGGCGUGCUUAACACAUGCAAGUCGAACGGAAAGGCCCCUUUGGGGGUGCUCGAGUGGCGGACGGGUGAGUAACACGUGAGUAACCUGCCCUUGACUUCGGGAUAACUUCAGGAAACUGGGGCUAAUACCGGCUAGGAAUCCUUGCUGCAUGGUGGGGGUGGGAAAGCUUCGGCGGUUUUGGAUGGACUGGCGGCUUAUCAGCUUGUUGGUGGGGUAGUGGCUUACCAAGGCUUUGACGGGUAGCCGGCCUGAGGGGGCGAACGGCCAAAUUGGGACUGGGAUUAGGCCCAGACUCCCACGGGAGGCAGGAGGGGGGAAUAUUGCACAAUGGGCGGAAGCCCGAUGCAGGAACGCCGCGGGCGGGAUGACGGCCUUCGGGUUGGAAACCGCUUUCAGCAGGGGAGAAGCUUGUGGUGACGGUACCUGCAGAAGAAGCACCGGCUAACUACGUG
rnacentral:rRNA from 1 species